GACGGAGGAUGCAAGCGUUAUCCGGAAUGAUUGGGCGUAAAGCGUCCGCAGGUGGCAGUUCAAGUCUGCUGUCAAAGACCGGGGCUUAACUUCGGAAAGGCAGUGGAAACUGAACAGCUAGAGUAUGGUAGGGGCGGAGGGAAUUCCUGGUGUAGCGGUGAAAUGCGUAGAGAUCAGGAAGAACAUCGGUGGCGAAGGCGCUCUGCUGGACCAUAACUGACACUCAGGGACGAAAGCUAGGGGAGCGAAUGGG
rnacentral:rRNA from 1 species